rnacentral:rRNA from 1 species
UACGUAGGGCGCGAGCGUUGUCCGGAAUUAUUGGGCGUAAAGAGCUCGUAGGCGGCUUGUCACGUCGGUUGUGAAAGCCCGGGGCUUAACCCCGGGUCUGCAGUCGAUACGGGCAGGCUAGAGUUCGGCAGGGGAGAUCGGAAUUCCUGGUGUAGCGGUGAAAUGCGCAGAUAUCAGGAGGAACACCGGUGGCGAAGGCGGAUCUCUGGGCCGAUACUGACGCUGAGGAGCGAAAGCGUGGGGAGCGAACAGG